UGAUCAUGGCUCAGGACGAACGCUGGCGGCGUGCUUAACACAUGCAAGUCGAACGAGAAUCACUGGAAGGAGUUUUCGGACAACGGAAGGUGAGGACAGUGGCGGACGGGUGAGUAACGCGUGAGGAACCUGCCUUUCAGAGGGGGACAACAGUUGGAAACGACUGCUAAUACCGCAUGACACAUAGAGAUCGCAUGGUUUUUAUGUCAAAGAUUUAUCGCUGAAAGAUGGCCUCGCGUCUGAUUAGCUAGUUGGUGAGGUAACGGCCCACCAAGGCGACGAUCAGUAGCCGGACUGAGAGGUUGACCGGCCACAUUGGGACUGAGAUACGGCCCAGACUCCUACGGGAGGCAGCAGUGGGGAAUAUUGGGCAAUGGGCGCAAGCCUGACCCAGCAACGCCGCGUGAAGGAAGAAGGCUUUCGGGUUGUAAACUUCUUUUGUCGGGGACGAGUAGAAGACGGUACCUGGCGAAUAAGCCACGGCUAACUACGUGCCAGCAGCCGCGGUAAUACGUAGGUGGCAAGCGUUGUCCGGAUUUACUGGGUGUAAAGGGCGUGUAGCCGGGAAGGCAAGUCAGAUGUGAAAUCCACGGGCUUAACUCGCGAACUGCAUUUGAAACUACU
rnacentral:rRNA from 1 species